AACUGCAACAGUAACUUGUUAAAACAAUAAUGGUAUUCUUUAAAUCCACAUUGAUAUACUGUUUUUUUAUUACCUGAAAUAUUAGCUGUUGGAACAGUGUGAAGCCUUUCUGCUCUGCUUUGGGGCAGGGAGUUGCUUCUUUUUGAGUGGGAGAGUAGGGGAGAAGAGUGGCUGUUGGGUGCGUCUGCAUUAGCAGUCCAGUAGAGGGAUUUCUUUGAUGCAGAUCCGUGCUAUAUGGUAUCAAGACUGAUUUACCUCUUAGUGACACAUAGGUUUAGGCAGUGCUGACUGAGGGAUGUUCUGUCAACAGCAUGGGCUCCCGGCAGGCCCUCCAGUAACUGUCUACACUGUAUGCAUGGUCAGUUCUAUGUGACUUCAUUGGCUCUGUAACUUCAUUGACAGAAUGCGAUGUGGAUAUACAGUCCAUGACCCAUCAAAAAUCACAGCAAGUUGAACCCCCAUUCUUCCCUUUUGUGCACUGUGCUAGUGAGUGAUGUGACAGUGUAUGUGGAUCUUGAAACUCUGCUGAAAAUAUUUCAUGUGCCAACAGCCCUAGGUAUUACGAAGCAGCAUGCUUGAAUCAACAGAAGGGGAGUGGUCAGAAUAGCCUUUCCAGGAGUAUUGCUCUAAGAAUAACUUCAUUACUAUUUCAGGCCAGGACAUUAUCUCUGGAAUGUGCAGGAGGUGACAGAUCUCAUUCAUGGUUGCUUUAUAAGCCAGAGGGGGACAGCAGUUCCUCCAGAGCAGGCUAAGGAAAUAGUUCUGUAUAAGCCUCUUUU